UCCUGUUAUGUGCAGCAAUUUUAUAUAUGGAAUUUGGGAUUCAAUAUUUCAAUUUCUUAUUCAUGUAAUUGUAACCCUUUUUUUUGUGUGCACUGUGCAGCUUCUUCAUUACAGUAUUUUCAUUCUUGAAAGCUAAGGUUCUUGCACUAGGAGAGGAAGAGAGGAGAGAGAAAUUAAAGUUAUGGAAAAGAAUUUUAAACGUAAAUCUGCGUUUUCUUGCGAUGAGCAAAAUGUUAAUGGAAGAAAUGUUCAAGAUAAAAGGGAUGGACAUGAUGCUGAAGAUAAAAAGGAUGACAAACUUGGGGAUGAAAUGAAUGAAAUUGGUGGAACUAAUAUUGGAGAUGUCCCAAUUGAAACAAUUAUCAGGAAUGUUGGAGAUGAAAGGCUUGAAUUUGAUAUUGCACAGCUUCCUUCAGAUCCUGGAUUGAGGGUUCCAAUACAAAAUUAUGAUGCUAAUGUUUGAAAUGUAAUUCGAAGAGCAUAUGUGCAAAGGGGUCCAUGUCAGCCUCGCAAUCAUGAAUUUCCACCUAAAAAAUGGCUAAAAAAGAUAGGUGAUUUUGUGUUUCAUGGUAUAACGAGUAUCCUAGUUGGUUGGAAUACAGUAUAGGAAAAAAAGCUGUAUUUUGCUUAAACUGCUAUCUUUUUAGCUCAAGUUGUGGUUCAUUUGUUAAUAGUGGGUUCUCAAAUCGGAAAAGAAAGGAAAUUAUUAGAAAACAUGUUGGGGCACCCCAAAUAGUGUACACUAUCAGGCUCGGGUCGGGUAUGAAUCAUU